AGCAGUCGCCACGGGAAUACGUAGGGUGCGAGCGUUAAUCGGAAUUACUGGGCGUAAAGCGUGCGCAGGCGGUUGUGUAAGACAGGUGUGAAAUCCCCGGGCUUAACCUGGGAACUGCGCUUGUGACUGCACAGCUAGAGUAUGGCAGAGGGGGGUGGAAUUCCACGUGUAGCAGUGAAAUGCGUAGAGAUGUGGAGGAACACCGAUGGCGAAGGCAGCCCCCUGGGCCAAUACUGACGCUCAUGCACGAAAGCGUGGGGAGCAAACAGGAUUAGAUACCCGCGUAGUCCCUGUCUCUUAUAC
rnacentral:rRNA from 1 species